rnacentral:rRNA from 1 species
AUUUUGGACAAUGGGCGCAAGCCUGAUCCAGCCAUUCCGCGUGCAGGAUGAAGGCCCUCGGGUUGUAAACUGCUUUUGUACGGAACGAAACGGCGCCUUCUAAUACAGGGCGCUAAUGACGGUACCGUAAGAAUAAGCACCGGCUAACUACGUGCCAGCAGCCGCGGUAAUACGUAGGGUGCAAGCGUUAAUCGGAAUUACUGGGCGUAAAGCGUGCGCAGGCGGUGAUGUAAGACAGGUGUGAAAUCCCCGGGCUUAACCUGGGAACUGCAUUUGUGACUGCAUCGCUGGAGUGCGGCAGAGGGGGAUGGAAUUCCGCGUGUAGCAGUGAAAUGCGUAGAUAUGCGGAGGAACACCGAUGGCGAAGGCAAUCCCCUGGGCCUGCACUGACGCUCAUGCACGAAAGCGUGGGGAGCAAACAGG